rnacentral:rRNA from 1 species
CCUACGGGUGGCAGCAGUGGGGAAUAUUGGACAAUGGGGGGAACCCUGAUCCAGCCAUGCCGCGUGUGUGAAGAAGGCCUCGGGUUGUAAAGCACUUUCAGUGAGGAAGAACGCCUGGUGGUUAAUACCCAUCAGGAAAGACAUCACUCACAGAAGAAGCACCGGCUAACUCCGUGCCAGCAGCCGCGGUAAUACGGAGGGUGCGAGCGUUAAUCGGAAUUACUGGGCGUAAAGCGCGCGUAGGUGGCUUGAUAAGCCGGUUGUGAAAGCCCCGGGCUCAACCUGGGAACGGCAUCCGGAACUGUCAAGCUAGAGUGCAGGAGAGGAAGGUAGAAUUCCCGGUGUAGCGGUGAAAUGCGUAGAGAUCGGGAGGAAUACCAGUGGCGAAGGCGGCCUUCUGGACUGACACUGACACUGAGGUGCGAAAGCGUGGGUAGCAAACAGGAUUAGAUACCCCUGUAGUC